AACAUCAAUCUGCUUCUGCAUUUCUUCCUUAAUCUUCAUUGCCAUAUCAGGAUGAGUUCUCCUCAACUUCUACUUGACUGGCGGGCAUUCUGGCUUCAACGACAAUCUAUGCUCCACAAUCUCAGGAUCCAACCCAGGCAUGUCUUGAUAGGACCAAGAAAACACAUCUGAAUACUCUUGGAGAAGAUCAAUCAACCCCUUCUUAACCUCAAGACACAUUCAAGAUCCAAUCUUGACCUCCUUCACUUCAUCCUCGGAAUCCAAGUUGAC
rnacentral:lncRNA from 1 species